rnacentral:lncRNA from 1 species
CCGGAUUAGGAGUAGAAUAUUUUUGGGUGGUUCUGGAGAUGGACAUGGAUGGAUAUAUGUGGAUGGUACUUCCAGAGUAGAAGUAGCAUAUAUGAGUGAACGUGCAAGUGAAUCUUGAUUUAACCACAUGACAAGCUCCUAAGGGUCUACAUAGCUUGACCACACUCAAUGCUCAUAAGCAGUAAAUAAUAAAUGUGUGGCUCAAAGUCUAGCAAGCAUGUAUAUAUGGCUGUGGUAGGAAUUUAAACUUUCAUCAUACAGGAACUCAUCAUGCAAUAUUUUAAAGAUUUUUCAAAGAUAAAAUUCUCCAGAAUUCUAGCAUCUCUAGGAACAGAUAAACAGCAGCUCAACCUUCCCAUAUCAUAUCCGUUAACAACUUAGAUUUCAGAUCAAGUUUUCAUCCCACAAGUUUAGAACUUGAGCAAGCUUUAAAUUAUAACAGUUAUGUCUAAACUUAAGAGAGAACUUCAAAUUUGCAAAUUAGGCAGAGCAACUAUUCAUCAUAUCCAUGCUAGAGUUUUAUUAUUAAGAUUCAGAUUAGCAUAGCCACUUUAUUUAUUAAACACACUAAGCAAAAGAUAUAUAUAUAAGCUCAAAAUCUUUAUUUGGUUUUUCAUAGUUUAUGUAUUUUAAUAUUCUAAUAUAAUAUAAGUAUAAAGAUAGGUAGAAAUACUUAGCGAGAUAAAUGGUGGUGCUCUCCCCCAAGCUGAAUUUUGACGUAAUUUCUCUUGAUGUAGCUAGCAAGUGGCAGAGGUGUAUUUGAAAGUCAGCAGCAUUCUGACAGCGAUUAGAAUGUCCUCCGUCUGCUAGUCUUCUUGAUUCUUAAAUUCUGUGGAGCUCAAAUAGACAACAAAGCUUGUGGAACUAAUUAAGUGUUAGCAUAAAUAUCUAGCCUUCAUCAUGUUGAGCUUCCUCAAUAAAUAUUACUCCCUGUUUUUAUAUUUUUAUUUUAUAAAGUAGAAAAGAAAUAUUUAUUUUAUUUUUAUGCCACCACAGUGAAGGUACUUAUGGGUUUUAUGCCACUCGUAUACACACAUGGGGCUUAGUAUUUUUUAACAUUUUUAUUUUCUUUUCAAGAUAGCAUGAUUAACUAAUAAUCUAUUUAAGGAAAGUAAAUAAUUAAAGGGAAAAGGGAAUGCAGAAAUGAUAAAUAUGGAUAACUACUGAUCUUACCUUUCGGCGAGGGUUCAAUGUUUUAAGUCUUCUUAACAAGACUUCUCACCGUGUUCAUUCUUCAGGUGCGUCAUUUGAUUCAGGUGCGGACCUUGACGUCUGCACCUCUUGAUACGGUGUCACCCAUGUUCUUCGUUUGCCCAGCAGUUCGAAGUGCGGUGUUGGCAGUAACCUGCUCAGUGUGUUUGUGCUCAUAGAUCCAGGUCCUUCACUUGGUAGAGUCUGAGAGUUAUAAAACUCCUCCGUGUUUUGCUCAAAGUGUACCUACUCAUAGAGACAAGGCAGAGAUCAAGUGCAUGGGUCCUGUUGGUGGAAAACACCAACAGAACCUAAAGUGUAUUUGUUCUUCUCUAACCCUAAGCAUAGUGAGCAAGAUAAAGUUGAUGGAUGAAAAGUUCAUGAGUGUAGCACUUAUAACAUUUGUCAGAUCAGAUCGCUCAACCUUAUGGAAAGAUAAUCUAUCUAUGUAUAUGUCUUUUUCUUUAUAUCUCUCAAUGAUUGAAUGUGUAACAUUUUAGCUCAUAUGAUUAGGAGUGUGGGAUCAUGG